AGGAUGAACGCUGGCGGCGUGCCUAAUACAUGCAAGUCGAACGAGGUCUUCGGACCGAGUGGCGAACGGGUGAGUAACACGUUGGUACCUACCCCGAAGUAGGGAAUAACUGCCCGAAAGGGUGGCUAAUACCGCAUAAUACCGCAAGGUUAAAGCAGUAAUGCGCUUCGGGAGGGGCCUGCGUCCCAUUAGCUAGUUGGUAGGGUAAUGGCCUACCAAGGCGACGAUGGGUAGCUGGAUCGAGAGGUUGACCAGCCACACUGGGACUGAGAUACGGCCCAGACUCCUACGGGAGGCAGCAGUAAGGAAUCUUCCACAAUGGACGAAAGUCUGAUGGAGCAACGCCGCGUGCAGGAUGACGGCCUUCGGGUGUAAACUGCUUUUAUAUGGGAAGAUUAUGACGGUACCAUAUGAAUAAGGACCGGCUAACUACGUGCCAGCAGCCGC
rnacentral:rRNA from 1 species